GACGAACGCUGGCGGCGUGCUUAACACAUGCAAGUCGAGCGGUAAGGCCCUUUCGGGGUACACGAGCGGCGAACGGGUGAGUAACACGUGGGUGACCUGCCCUCAGCUCUGGGAUAAGCCUGGGAAACCGGGUCUAUACCGGAUAUGACUCCAUGACGCAUGUUGUGGGGUGGAAAGCCUUGUGCGGCUGAGGAUGGGCCCGCGGCCUAUCAGCUUGUUGGUGGGGUGAUGGCCUACCAAGGCGACGACGGUAGCCGGCCUGAGAGGCGACCGGCCACACUGGGACUGAGACACGGCCCAGACUCCUACGGGAGGCAGCAGUGGGGAAUCUUGCGCAAUGGGCGAAAGCCUGACGCAGCGACG
rnacentral:rRNA from 1 species